AUUGAACGCUGGCGGCAGGCCUAACACAUGCAAGUCGCACGAGUGGCGGAAGGGUGAGUAAUGUCUGGGAAACUGCCCGAUGGAGGGGGAUAACUACUGGAAACGGUAGCUAAUACCGCAUACCAUCGGAUGUGCCCAGAUGGGAUUAGCUAGUAGGUGGGGUAAUGGCUCACCUAGGCGACGAUCCCUAGCUGGUCUGAGAGGAGGACCGGCCAACCUGGAACGGAGACACGGUCCAGACUCCGACGGGAGGCAGCAGUGGGGAAUAGUGCACAAUGGGCGCAAGCCUGAUGCAGCCAUGCCGCGUGUAUGAAGAAGGCCUUCGGGUUGUAAAGUACUUUCAGCGGGGAGGCGUUACCCGCAGAAGAAGCACCGGCUAACUCCGUGCCAGCAGCCGCGGUAAUUC
rnacentral:rRNA from 1 species